AAUGGACGAAAGUCUGACCGAGCGACGCCGCGUGCGGGAUGAAGGUCUUCGGAUUGUAAACCGCUGUCGGAGGGGAUGAAUAUACGAGAGCUAUCUCUUGUAUUUGACAGAGCCUCGGAGGAAGCACGGGCUAAGUUCGUGCCAGCAGCCGCGGUAAUACGAACUGUGCGAACGUUAUUCGGAAUCACUGGGCUUAAAGGGUGCGUAGGCGGUUUUCUAAGUCACGUGUGAAAUCUUCCGGCUCAACCGGAAAACUGCGCGUGAUACUGGAUGACUUGAGUGAGGUAGGGGUGUGUGGAACUUCCGGUGGAGCGGUGAAAUGUGUAGAGAUCGGAAGGAACGCCAGCAGCGAAAGCGGCACACUGGGCCUUUUCUGACGCUGAGGCACGAAAGCUAAGGGAGUGAACGGGAUU
rnacentral:rRNA from 1 species